AGAUGUCUCACAGACACCUCAAGCUCAACGUCCUGUUCCCACCCUCUCACUUUCUAUUGAAACUGUCUCUGCUGUCUGUACUCCCUUCCUUGUUCUUUUGCACCUGGACUAGACAGAAGACUACAGUUCAAUAAGAAGGAAACACAUUCAUUUUCAGUAUUGUUAAUAAAGAAGCUUACCUAAAAGAAGGAAAUCAAAACAAGAUAAUCUACACUGCAACUAGGGGAGGCUAUUGAAUGUGAUGGUCCCCUCAGAUGCCUAGAGGAAGAUGAACAAUGGUAAUCAGAUAUCCUAAAGUUAUCUUUAGGGCACUGGCAAAAUAGCAGCAAUGCCUGGUGGAAGCUGACUUUGUGCAUACACAUGAGAGCCCACAGAAAACUUCAAACUUCAUGGAAAUAAAACCUUCAGCUGCAGCUAAGAAUUUGGAGGUUACUGAAGGAGGUUACUUUUUCAAGAGCAGAAGUAAGGAUUCCACUGAAUUUGCUCACCAAAGAUAAGUCAGCAAAGAAAACUUACUGAAGAAUACAGGUUGUCUACUGUGUUUUUCUUAUUUUUUUUGUGGAGGUUAUUUGAUCAUGUUUAUUUGAAAAUUGACCCCUAUAUGACAACCCAUUCUGUUGAGUUUAUUGUUAAAAGAGCAGGAAUGAUUAAUGACUAUAGUGAAAUUAUGGAUUCCUAUUGUUGCUAAGCUAAUAUUGUAAGAACCAGCUAAAUCUUAUAAUGUAUGAUACAUUUACGUGUGGCAUUCUUUGGUAUAGAAAUGAUUGUGUAAAUGCUGACGCUAUGGGGUUUACCUUCUGCCUAAAUCAACAUCAGUGCUAAAAAUACAUAUAAAUAAGGUGAAUAUUUUGAAUUUAUUUAAGGCCCUUCUCCAAAAAAGAAUAAUAAUUUAAAUUUUUUUGUAGAACUAUGAGAAAAGCUAACUAAUUUGCAUAAACUGAGGAGCACAAUUGGAAAUAGAGCAAAAUUAUUUAUUAUUUUUAAGUGAAUGCAAGUUUAUUAAGAAAGUAAAGGAAUAAAAGAAUGGCUACUCCAUAGGCAGAGCAGCAAAAAUUAUUGAAUUUUUAAGUGAAUAUAAUCAUAUUGCUUUGACUUAUUGUCAUCUAUUUAUAAGAAAUAGCUAUUCCACAAUCUUCUUAAUGUUUAAAUAUUUUGUAAUAAACAUAUUAAUAUUGUAUAUUAUAUGUUAUUCAUAUAUAUUAAUAAUAACUAAUAAAUAUAUAUUUCUUAUGAUGUACCUGAUAUUGGAGUAAGUAUUGAGCCUGUGAGGUGAGUAACAUUAUUAUGUGAUUUAACAAAUGAGGAAACUAAAGUCCUUAAAAAUGGUGGCUUUUGUUGACAUAUGUUGUUUUGAAUGCUUUCCUUCCUGUUCCCCAUGAUUUGGCAGGAGUUCCUUGGGAAACGACUCCUCCACUGAAUGCAAUCAAGUUAAAACUAUCAAGCCAUAUACUUUUCUGCCUUCUACAAGAAUAAAUGAUGGUCAAAUGUUCUUUCUUUCAGGAACAUAAAUCUUAAGCAGGCUUACAUAAGGAAGGGAAGUGGUUGAAUCUGAGGUAAUUCCAUGGUGGACUUUGAAGAAAGCCUUCCAUGAGUUCCCAGUCCAUAUCCUCCAAAAGGUUUCUUGGAUAUGCUUUAUUUAUGCCUAAUUUUCCAGUUUUCUCUUUAAUAUUGUGUGCUCUAAUAUUUUAUUCUCUCUCUUUUUUUUGCUUCACUUAGUUAGAAUUUCUUUCAGCCAAUGAAGAAUUCUAUUGAGAAGCAUGAAUCUGUAAUUUUGCAUAUUCCAGAAUAGUUAUGAUCUAAACAUUACAUCCUGCUGUAUCCCUAAGUACUUGAAAUCUGGAUAUUCCAGUUUCAACAACGAGAUCUUAAAAUUGUAAUUCCCAUAUCAUGUUAUACAUAAAGUACCAGGCGAUCACUGUACUUUGGUAGCCUACUUGCAGGCUUUGAAUUAUUAUGUUGGAAAAUGUGGUCACUUUGAGUACAUUGCCUUUGAAUCAUGAGUAGCUGGAGAUUAAUUAUGUUCUUCCAACUUAUUGGGCUUUGUGACCUUUACUUAUUUAUUCAUUUAUUUGGUACAUUUCCUUUAAUGAUUUCAACUUCUGUUCCUGUGACCUGUACUGCAGUCUUUCCCUUUAUAUGCAAAGAUUCUGCAAUCAUUGGAUAUUUUUCCAUAAGAUUUUUAAAUUGAGAUGCAAUUCACAUACCUUUGCAUAAUUUUUAUUAUUUUUAAAAUGUACAAUUCAUUGUUUUUUAGUAUAGUAUAUUCACAAUGUUCUGCAACCAUCAUAACUGUCUAAUUCCAGAAUAUUUUUAUAACUUCAAAAAAACCCUAUUCCCAUUGACAAUCACUUUCCAUUCUUUUUUCCCCCAACCUCUACAAAUCACUAAUUUAUUUUCAAUCCAGUUACACUGUUUAAAUAUCUUAACAUUUUUCCUUUUAUAAGACAAUUGUUCUUUUAUUUCUUCAACUUAUAUUAAAUGCUUAGGCAUUCUCUACUUUUAUCCACUGACAAAAAAAUCAAGACAUGUUUUCCUAAUAGCAAUUGAAAGAGAUAAAAUAACUGCAAAACAUUUAAUCCCAUAUUUUUUUUCAGACCUCCUUAAUUCUCCUUUUAAAAUUAUUAAUUUAUUUAUGAGCUUGGGAAAUUGUAUAACAUUAUGAUUGAAUUUUAUCUGAUUCUGGACAAAUAAAAAAUGACAACAGAUUGAAAAGAUAUGAAAAGUCAGAUUCAAUAACCUUCCAUAUAGUCAUUUGGGUUUUUUUCAGCUUCCAAUCCCACACUUCCUUGACCUAAAAUAGAUAAGGAAAGUCUCAUCUUUAAUUAAACAACUUGAAGUAAUUUGGAUUUUUUUGAAUAUACACUAUUUCUCAUGAUCUUUUUAAGGCCACUUCUGAAAUAAAAAUAUUUUAUUGCAAGCUUUGGAUAAAUAUGCAGUUAAGAAGUAUGACAUAAUUAUGUCCAUUUACCCAUGUAUAGUUAUCAAGUAAUAAUUAUUGUUUUCCCCUGCCUAUUCUAGAAAAGAUUUUAAGUAGCUGUGUUUUUAAAUUUAGUAAUUUUUAACUUGAAUCUCCACUGUUCUCAGACAGCAUAUCAGCUCCUGCUUUCCAGACAAACUUCCUGGGUCUUGGGAAGAAGAAAGCCUCAGACUAAGAACUCUCUCUGGACUCAGACAGCCUGAAUUCAAAUCCCAUCUCUAUUCUUACUAGUCAUAUGAA